GGAAUGAGUGAGAUUGGUUGUUUAAAGAGAGUUUGUGCUUGAAUGAUAAAAUUUUCGAAUAACUCUCUUAACUAAAGGAUUUUGUGAUCUAGAAAAACUAAUUUUUCUUGUUAGCGCAGCCUCAUUAUAAGCCAUGAAAAGUCCUUGUGAUGACAUGUGUUUGUGAGUAUGUUUGAUUGUGGUAAAUGAAAGGUAAUUUUGUUCUACGUGACAUGUGGAUAGUAGAGGGAAGGAGUGGCCUCUUGAA
rnacentral:lncRNA from 1 species